rnacentral:rRNA from 1 species
UACGUAGGGGGCUAGCGUUGUCCGGAUUUAUUGGGCGUAAAGAGCGUGUAGGCGGCUAGGUAGGUCUGCUGUGAAAACUCGAGGCUCAACCUCGAGACGUCGGCGGAAACCAUCUGGCUAGAGUCCGGAAGGGGAGAGUGGAAUUCCUGGUGUAGCGGUGAAAUGCGCAGAUAUCAGGAGGAACACCGGUGGCGAAGGCGGGUCUCUGGGCCGAUACUGACGCUGAGGAGCGAAAGCGUGGGGAGCGAACAGG